rnacentral:rRNA from 1 species
AGCGAACGCUGGCGGCAGGCUUAACACAUGCAAGUCGAACGGGCACUCCCGGCUCAGCGGCGGACGGGUGAGUAACACGUGGGAACGAACCCGUUGGUUCGGAAUAACGCAGUGAAGGUUGCCCUCAUACAGGAUACGCCAUUACGGGGUAGGGCUUGCUGCCGCAGGCUCGGCCCGGGACUGAUUCGCUGUGUGGUGGUGUACUGGCCUCUCAAGGCGAGGUUGAGGAGCUGGUCUGUUAGGAUGACCAGUACCACUGGGACUGCGACACGGCCCACACUCGGAGGGGAGGCAGCAGUGGGUAAUAUUGGGCAAGGAGCGCAGGCCUGACCCAGCCACGCCGCGGGUGUGAGGAAGGCGUUAGGGUUGUAAAGCUCUUUUGUCCGGGACGAUAAUGACGGUACCGGAAGAAUAAGCCCCGGCUAACUUCGUG